rnacentral:rRNA from 1 species
GACGAACGCUGGCGGCGUGCUUAACACAUGCAAGUCGAACGAAGUGGCGAACGGGUGAGUAACGCGUAAUCAACCUGCCCUUCAGCGGGGCAAACAGGUUGAAACCACUGCUAAAUACGCAUACUGGAGGAGGGGGUUGCGUUGGAUUAGCUAGUUGGAGGGGUAACGGCCCACCAAGGCGAUGAUCAGUAGCCGGUCUGAGAGGAUGAACGGCCACAUUGGGACUGAGACACGGCCCAGACUCCUACGGGAGGGAGCAGUGGGGGAUCUUCCGCAAUGGACGAAAGUCUGGCGAAGCAACGCCGGGUGAGUGAUGACGGCCUUCGGGUUGUAAAGCUCUGUUAAUCGGGACGCGGUACCGGAAUAGAAAGCCACGGCUAACUACGUGCCAGCAGCCGCGGUAAUUC